GGCCUAACACAUGCAAGUCGAACGGUAACAGGAAGCAGCUUGCUGCUUUGCUGACGAGUGGCGGACGGGUGAGUAAUGUCUGGGAAACUGCCUGAUGGAGGGGGAUAACUACUGGAAACGGUAGCUAAUACCGCAUAACGUCGCAAGACCAAAGAGGGGGACCUUCGGGCCUCUUGCCAUCGGAUGUGCCCAGAUGGGAUUAGCUAGUAGGUGGGGUAACGGCUCACCUAGGCGACGAUCCCUAGCUGGUCUGAGAGGAUGACCAGCCACACUGGAACUGAGACACGGUCCAGACUCCUACGGGAGGCAGCAGUGGGGAAUAUUGCACAAUGGGCGCAAGCCUGAUGCAGCCAUGCCGCGUGUAUGAAGAAGGCCUUCGGGUUGUAAAGUACUUUCAGCGGGGAGGAAGGCGAUAAGGUUAAUAACCUUGUCGAUUGACGUUACCCGCAGAAGAAGCACCGGCUAACUCCGUGCCAGCAGCCGCGGUA
rnacentral:rRNA from 1 species